GGAAAAGACUGGCACCAUUUUCACAAAAAUGCUUGAUCGUGCCUGGUUCCCAAACGGCUUGUCUUCCAACUUCUGUCCUUCACGCAAUUUAUAAUCCAGCCAGACGAAACAGCUGUGAUUCCCAAGGAGCAUGGCCAUUACCUACGGCCUUCAAGAGAACUGCAGAACUUGAGAGCUGAAGCCCUCAGCGAGCCUCUAGAGCAGUGGGUUUAUAACAGCUGUCGUCGAUCAAAGAAGAGAGCUGUCAAGGGCACGCUAGGGACGGCAGAGCCGGGGAAGUGACGGAGGGACGCGGCUCCCGGCCGAGGCCUGCAGCUCCCGGCCGAGGCCUGCAGCUCGGGCUCCGGCCGGGGCGGCUCGGCCCUCCCCGCGUGCAGCCUCCGCGUCCAGACUUGCGCCGCAGCUCCCGGGACACCCGCUCGGCCUUCUCC